AAACAUCUACUUUUGCUAGUUUUGACAGAUAUAGGUUAAAUUAAAUAUAUGUUGAAGAAAAUUAUUAUUUUUUUUUUAGUUCUGCAAUUGAGAAUGCAGCAUCGGCGCACUCAGGAACAGAUGUCAGAGCACAAUUUAAUCCCAUGUAAGUUAUAACUGUAAGUCAAUAAGUAAUUUAAGAAAAAGAUCACACAUUCUACAUUUCACAAAACAUCAUAAGUUAUCUGUUGAAGAAACAUCUACAUUAUUUCUUCUUGCAAAAACACUUAAUUAUACAAUAAGCGUGAUAAACCCUCUAAAAUAUUUGAAAACACACAUUAAUGCAAAUCUAUGCUUACAAUUAUCUAAUUAUCUGAUGUAUAAUGACUAUUUCAGCUAAAUACAAAUUUUCUUCAGAUACGAAACAUUAAAUAGCAUAAAUUGGUAUGUUACGUGUUUUUAGAAUUUCAAUGACUCUGAAAAAUAAAUCUGAAUUUGUAUCUGAAAUAAGUUUUAACAAUUUUUAAGUUGCUCAUUUGUUUAUAUUUUGAUUCUGUUUGCAGCACCAAAUAAAACACAAUCACCUUUCCAACACCAAAAUGGCAACGUGGGUCAAAUCAAAGUAAGUAUGUUUAAUUAUACUAAAUGAAGCAAUGUAAUUAAUUAAUAUUGGCAAUGUUUAAGUUCAACUUUUCACAUCCUACAUUUUUAAAUUAAUUAAAACAUUUAAGCUUAUGGUUUAAUAUUUUAUGAUACUAUCAAAUGGGCUCAACGUCCAUCAGCUCGCACUAUCCUAAAACCACUAUAGCAAUCCUUCUGUUUUGUUUAAACAUAACAUAUAUUUUUAGUGGUAUUUUAAUAGAUCAUUAGAGCUUAUCCUAUAAAGUAUUCUGAAAAAAACAAAUACAAGUAAAUAUUACAAUAAUUUAUUUGCCUGACAGACUGAAGAUAUUUUGAGGUUCAAGAAUCAGAACAAGCUCCACAAAGUGUCAGCUGCGAAGAUGCAUUUUUCUGAAGGUU